CCAAAGGCUCUUUUAAGAGCCACUUCAAUUCUGCCUCAAAAGAGCA
rfam:Scleropages formosus scaffold1444, whole genome shotgun sequence.